GUUCAAACGAGGAAGGGCUUACGAUGGAUACCUAGGCACCCAGAGACGAGGAAGGGCGUGGUAAGCAACGAAAUGCUUCGAAGAGUUGAAAAUGAGCAUAGAUUUGGAGAUUCCCGAAUAGGUUAACCUUUUUAAGUGCUGCUUAAUCCAUGGGCAAGCAAGAGACAAUCUGGCAAAAUGAAACAUCUUAGUAGCCAGAGGAAUUGAAAGAAAAAGAGAUUCCCAUAGUAGCGGCAAGCAAAAUGGGAGCAGCCUAAACCGUGAAAACAAGGUUGUGGGAGAGCACAAUAUAAGCUCUGUGCUGCUAGGCGAAGUGGUUGAUUCCUGCACCCUAGAUGGUGAGAUUCCAGUAGCCAAAAGCAUCAUUGGGUUACGCUCUAACCCGAGUAGCAUGGGGCACGUGGAAUCUUGUGUGAAUCAACAAGGACCACCUUGCAAGGCUAAAUACUCAUGGGUGACUGAUAGUGAAGUAGUACCGUGAGGGAAAGGUGAAAAGAACCCCCAUCAGGGAGUGAAAUAGAACAUGAAACUGUAAGUUCCCAAGCAGUGGGAGGAAAAUGAUAUCUCUGACCACUUUCCUGUUGAGGAAUGAGCCGUUGACCUAUAGGCAGUGGCUUGGUUAAGGGGACCCACCGGAGCCGUAGCAAGAGCGAGUCUUCAUGGGGCAAUUGUCACUGCUUAUGGACUCGAACCUGGGUGUUAUUGGAUAAAUCGGUAGGUGCAGACACUAACUGAUCUCCCUAGAUCUACCUAGAUCUAGAACAAAACACACCAAAACAUGACGCUUUCCUUAAGUUUUAGAUAUUGAACUUACUAACUAAAGAGGGAUAGGUAACAUACCGUUUAAACGCUGCUUCCUCUCACCAUCGCCAUCCUAUCUCCGCUCCAAUGCUCAUACAAUGAUGAACCUGCAAAAGAACGCAACCAACCAAAGUGAUAGUAAUAACAUAAACUCAAUAUAAACCUAUGUAUGUGAUCAAGGAAUCAUACAAUAAAACACAACAAGAUUUAUAGGAAAUAAUCAUAUUAAAUGUGAAAGAGAGAUUACAACCGUGGCCUUGAUGUCGUAAGGUCCCUUCCAACUAUCCUUCGUUCCCCACACACUUUCAUUCCAAGAAUUAUGAGAGCAUAGAUCUGAUAAUAUUCACAAUAUAUCUUGACAAAGUGGCUCAUCUAGCCAAGAUAACAAUCUCCAAAGCUCAAUCCAAUCCAAGCUAAUCCCAAAAGCUCCAAACUCCAAAGCUAAAUAUUCUCCAUGAGAGCUCCUCUCCUUUUAUAAGUUGAAGAGGAUAUGGUGAGGAGGUUGGGAUGAUCCCACUAAUUCAUGAAAGUGAGUAAGAUCCAAGCCAUUCAGAUGCCACCUCACCAUGGAAGUUUCUCCUUCUAGAAGCAUCGAGAAGAUGCUCAUUUUUCCCACGUAUGAGCAUUCUCGCACCCUGCUUAUAGAGCAACCU
rnacentral:ncRNA from 1 species